CUUCCCUACGGGGGGCAGCAGUAGGGAAUCUUCCACAAUGGGCGAAAGCCUGAUGGAGCAACGCCGCGUGGGUGAAGAAGGUCUUCGGAUCGUAAAACCCUGUUGUUAGAGAAGAAAGUGCGUGAGAGUAACUGUUCACGUUUCGACGGGAUCUAACCAGAAAGCCACGGCUAACUACGUUCCAGCAGCCGCGGUAAUAAGUAGGGGGCAAGCGUUAUCCGGAUUUAUUGGGCGUAAAGGGAACG
rnacentral:rRNA from 1 species